rnacentral:rRNA from 1 species
AACGAACGCUGGCGGCAGGCCUAACACAUGCAAGUCGAGCGAGGACUUCGGUCCUAGCGGCGGACGGGUGAGUAACGCGUGGGAACGUGCCCUUUGCUUCGGAAUAGCCCUGGGAAACUGGGAGUAAUACCGGAUGAGCCCUUUGGGGGAAAGAUUUAUCGGCGAAGGAUCGGCCCGCGUUGGAUUAGGUAGUUGGUGGGGUAAUGGCCUACCAAGCCGACGAUCCAUAGCUGGUUUGAGAGGAUGAUCAGCCACACUGGGACUGAGACACGGCCCUGACUCCUACGGGAGGCAGCAGUGGGGAAUCUUAGACAAUGGGGGAAACCCUGAUCUAGCCAUGCCGCGGGAGCGAUGAAGGCCUUAGGGUCGUAAAGCUCUUUCAGCUGGGAAGAUAAUGACGGUACCAGCAGAAGAAGCCCCGGCUAACUCCGU